CACCAGCGCCACAAGUGGGAGCUGAUUUUAUUGGGCCUAAAGCGUCCGUAGCCUGUUUGAUAAAUUUCUUGUGAAAUUAUCAGGCUUAACCUGAUAGCGUGCAGGAAAGACUGUCAAACUAGGGACCGGGAGGAGUGUGAGGUAUUCCUUGGGGAGCGGUAAAAUGUUAUAAUCCUUGGAGGACCACCUGUGGCAGAGGCGUCACACUAGAACGGAUCCGACGGUGAGGGACGAAAGCUAGGGGA
rnacentral:rRNA from 1 species